CUCACAACCUGUGUUCUAGAUUGAGUGACUGCUACUUGCUGUGAGACUUCAGAAAACAGGGGUUAAGCAUCUGAAAGGCCAGAAUGAAUCAGCAUUCCCUGAAGAAGAAGAAGGUGUAAACGAAAGAGAGGAGCAGUGGGAACAUUAAUUACGGGUCUGCAGCAAGAAGGCUUCUUGGGAAUAACUGAACUAUUAACUUUUCUGAAUAUCCCAUGGAAGGCCACUCCUUGAUUGACCUCCAGAAGCAUUCUCCACCUCUGCUCUCUACACUCAUACAGUAGUAAUACACCUCCUGGGAAGCUCUCCUUGACUGAACUUUAGAACCAAGUACAGAUUGUUCUAUAUUACUUACAAUUAAAGAAUAAACAUUUAUUUUAUGGUGAA